CUUCGGGGACCGGAACACAGGUGCUGCAUGGCUGUCGUCAGCUCGUGUCGUGAGAUGUUGGGUUAAGUCCCGCAACGAGCGCAACCCUCGCCCUUAGUUGCCAGCAUUUAGUUGGGCACUCUAAGGGGACUGCCGGUGAUAAGCCGAGAGGAAGGUGGGGAUGACGUCAAGUCCUCAUGGCCCUUACGGGCUGGGCUACACACGUGCUACAAUGGUGGUGACAGUGGGCAGCGAAGGAGCGAUCCCGAGCUAAUCUCCAAAAGCCAUCUCAAUUCGGAUUGCACUCUGCAACUCGAGUGCAUGAAGUUGGAAUCGCUAGUAAUCGCGGAUCAGCACGCCGCGGUGAAUA
rnacentral:rRNA from 1 species